UAUGUCGGACGACUUGUAGUUUGAAACACGUCUAAAGUAAAAGGCAUACAUUUUGUGGAUUUUUGUGCUCGAUUUCAAGUAUAAUAAGGAUCAUGGCAUCAUCAGAGCAGGUGUAACCAAGAAUAGGGUUCCAAGGGCUGCAAAGGUGAAGAAAAAGGCCCCAGUUCCAGUUCAGAUCACAGCUGAACAACUCUUGAGAGAAGCAAAGGAGAAGCAGUCAAUUGGUUCCACCAGCAUUUGAAGACAACCUUCAUAAAAACAGAUCAGUGAUAAGUAACUGGUUGAAGUAUGCUUAGUGAGAAGAAAGUCAGAAAGAAAUUCAAAGGUAGAGAUUGAAUCUGUCAUUGAAUGUUUUACAAAUAAUAAAUAAUUUGACAAAUUGA
rnacentral:lncRNA from 1 species